UUCUGAAUUCAAGUGAUCUUUACUUCAGUUAAAUGAAUCAAAGGUUAAAAAAAUGAAGCAGAUGGCACACAUCCAACCAAAGCUAGAAAAACUGUUGCGUCAAGACGAACUUCCUGCGAUGGAACAUGAUAAGACGUCAACCUCAGCAGUGGCACUUCAUUCAUUGAGGGACGCAGACGCAGCACCGCAGCUCUCAGGUAACAGCGCUUUUUCAUCCUCUGAGCAACAGCGGCUUCCACAACUCCACUACAUGUCUACAUCUUUGGAAAAGAGACUCAGUGAAGGUUGUUUUUUAUCUUUAAAGAGGAUUAAAUGUUUUCCUUUUCAGACAUGAAGAGAGGGCGGCUCCUCUUUGCGCUUUGGUGCUUCAGCAUCCAGGCAGGGACGGUCUGCCCCACAGGUCCGACAUGUGUGAGCGACUAUUACCAAAACAUCAGCUGCACGUUCGAUGCGCUGGACCAACCCAGCACCCACUACCUGUCCAUCAAAGGGGAAAACUGUUCACUCACAGCUGUGGAUCACAAAUUCAGAGCCGACUGUCGGGUCUGCAAAGAUAAAAAUUAUUUCAUUAAAGAGGAUAAAGUCGACAUCUACCUCUGUAAUGUAAAUUCCGGCUGCAGACGUAUCCUAAAAGAUUUCUUUCCAUGUAAAAACAGUAAGUGGGAUUAAAUAUGAUCAUGUGAUCCUUGAAGCUCCUCAAAUAACAUUUUGCUCCUGAAUGUCCCUGAAUAGUUAAGCUGACGCCGCCUGACAUUAAGGUCCAGCAUGCAGCAGAGCCCAUCAAAGUUACUACUAUAGGAACAUCGAAAAGCAUUUACUUAAAGGGUUUCCUGGAAUUUCAAAUGGCCCUUCAGAGAUCUGGCAGCAGCGAUAUCAGAAAUGCAUUCUAUAACUCGACCGGAGCGUAUUUUAUGAUUGAAAGAUCGACUCUGAAACCAGGAGCUCAGUACUGCGUCAAAGUCCGCCUCACGGUUCAGAAGGGAUACCACUAUGAAGCCGUUUGGAGUGACUGGAGUAGAGCCGAGUGCUGGACAGUCGACAAAGAACAAGAUGGCCUUUUGAUCAUUCUGGUGAAAACCUUGGGCCCGGUGGGUCUGUCUGUUGUGGUCCUGCUGUCUGUGUGCUGCAGUCCCACCGCCAGAAUGAAGCUGAAAACUCUGUCCCACACGCCGACCCCAGCCACCUUCUUUCAGCCUCUGUUCAAGCAGGACAAGAGGAAUCUGCAGGAGUGGUUCUCAAAAAACAGAAAUUUUGUGCUGGCAUACAAAACUGAAGAGGACUUGAGGGCCGACUCUGUGACUGUUGUGCCCAGAACCACGACAAAGGAGCGUGAGGAGAUCGUCCCCGACUCCUCUGUGACCCCCCUCGUGCUCCCUAUGGUUUUCCCUGUGGGUCAGCUCUCCUACGUCGGCUUACCUGGAUUCCAUGAGGCUCCGGCUCCAGUGCUCAACGCCGGGGACGGUCAAUACACCCAGCUCCCGUGUCCCGCCUGGGAAUUCGGCAUCUCAGAAGGGGAGUUAGCAUCUUCUUCGUCUGAAAGCCCCCUAGAGAUCAGCAACGCCGACUCUGGCUGCAGCUGUGAAGGCCUGAGCAGAAGCCCAGACUGCUGUUUACCCAGCAGCCCCUUUGGUAAAUGUGUGCCGCUACAGUUUGGCCAGGAUUACUGCAUCCUUAACAAAACAACCGAGGGGGUUGUUCCUGUUCUGGUGUCCAAAAUACAGGUUUCCUCUGACGUCCUGCAAGAAAAAGAGCCAAACCAGAGCUGAUCAGACUGAGCACUGCAGGAGGCUUUGACAAAACAUUUUAUUCUUCCUCAUGACUGUUUUCAGCCGCUGCAUCCUUUACGGUUAGAUUUAUUUCUUUAAGCAAACAGCACAACUUCUGCCUUACUACUUUUUAUUAAAAUGUUGUAUUUCUGCAUGUUUU
ensembl:lncRNA